rnacentral:rRNA from 1 species
UACGUAGGGUGCGAGCGUUAAUCGGAAUUACUGGGCGUAAAGUGUGCGCAGGUGGCCGCGCAAGUCGAGUGUGAAAUCCCCGGGCUCAACCUGGGAACUGCAUCCGAAACUGCCUUGCUCGAGUAUGGGAGAGGGAAGUGGAAUUUCCGGUGUAGCGGUGAAAUGCGUAGAUAUCGGAAGGAACAUCAGUGGCGAAAGCGACUUCCUGGACCAAUACUGACGCUCAUGUGCGAAAGCGUGGGGAGCAAACAGG